rnacentral:rRNA from 1 species
GAUGAACGCUGGCGGCGUGCCUAAUACAUGCAAGUCGAGCGAACGGACGAGAAGCUUGCUUCUCUGAUGUUAGCGGCGGACGGGUGGGUAACACGUGGAUAACCUACCUAUAAGACUGGGAUAACUUCGGGAAACCGGAGCUAAUACCGGAUAAUAUUUUGAACCGCAUGGUUCAAAAGUGAAAGACGGUCUUGCUGUCACUUAUAGAUGGAUCCGCGCUGCAUUAGCUAGUUGGUAAGGUAACGGCUUACCGAGGCAACGAUGCAUAGCCGACCUGAGAGGGUGAUCGGCCACACUGGAACUGAGACACGGUCCAGACUCCUACGGGAGGCAGCAGUAGGGAAUCUUCCGCAAUGGGCGAAAGCCUGACGGAGCAACGCCGCGUGAGUGAUGAAGGUCUUCGGAUCGUAAAACUCUGUUAUUAGGGAAGAACAUAUGUGUAAGUAACUGUGCACAUCUUGACGGUACCUAAUCAGAAAGCCACGGCUAACUACGUG